UACGGAGGGUGCGAGCGUUGUCCGGAAUCAUUGGGCGUAAAGAGCUCGUAGGCGGUUUGUCGCGUCUGCUGUGAAAACCUAAGGCUCAACCUUGGGCUUGCAGUGGGUACGGGCAGACUAGAGUGCGGUAGGGGUGACUGGAAUUCCUGGUGUAGCGGUGGAAUGCGCAGAUAUCAGGAGGAACACCGAUGGCGAAGGCAGGUCACUGGGCCGCAACUGACGCUGAGGAGCGAAAGCAUGGGGAGCGAACAGG
rnacentral:rRNA from 1 species